CGGACGAACGCUGGCGGCGUGCUUAACACAUGCAAGUCGAACGGUGACGAGGAGCUUGCUCCUCUGAUCAGUGGCGAACGGGUGAGUAACACGUGAGCAACCUGCCCCAGACUCUGGGAUAACAGUUGGAAACAGCUGCUAAUACCGGAUACGAGGCGGAGAGGCAUCUCUACCGUCUGGAAAGUUUUUCGGUCUGGGAUGGACUCGCGGCCUAUCAGCUAGUUGGUGAGGUAAUGGCUCACCAAGGCGACGACGGGUAGCCGGCCUGAGAGGGCGACCGGCCACACUGGGACUGAGACACGGCCCAGACUCCUACGGGAGGCAGCAGUGGGGAAUAUUGCACAAUGGGCGAAAGCCCUGAUGCAGCGACGCCGCGUGAGGGAUGACGGCCUUCGGGUUGUAAACCUCUUUCAGCAGGGAAGAAGCGAAAGUGACGGUACCUGCAGAAGAAGCACCGGCUAACUACGUG
rnacentral:rRNA from 1 species